CUGGCUCAGGAUGAACGCUGGCGGCGUGCCUAACACAUGCAAGUCGAACGGAGAAUAUACGCUUCAGAAGCUUCGGCAGAUGAUUGUAUAUUCUUAGUGGCGGACGGGUGAGUAACGCGUGGGCAACCUGCCUCAUACUGGGGGAUAACAGCUGGAAACGACUGUUAAUACCGCAUAAGCGCACAGUGUCGC
rnacentral:rRNA from 1 species